AGUGAACGCUGGCGGCGUGCUUAACACAUGCAAGUCGAACGAGAACGGAUUAUAGCUUGCUAUAAUUGUCAGCUAAGUGGCGCACGGGUGAGUAAUGUAUAGGUAAUAUGCCUCUUACUAAGGGAUAACAAAUGGAAACGUUUGCUAAUACCUUAUACUCCUUAUUAACAUACGUUAAUAAGGGAAAGAUUUAUUGGUAAGAGAUUAGCCUGUAUUGUAUCAGUUAGUUGGUGGGGUAAUGGCUUACCAAGACUAUGACACAUAACUGGUUUGGGAGGAUGAUCAGUCACACUGGAACUGAGACACGGUCCAGACUCCUACGGGAGGCAGCAGUGGGGAAUAUUGCACAAUGGACGAAAGUCUGAUGCAGCAGCGCCGCGUGGAGGAUGACACAUUUCGGUGCGUAAACUCCUUUUAUAUGAGAAGAUAAUGACGGUAUUAUAUGAAUAAGCACCGGCUAACUCCGUGCCAGCAGCCGCAGUAA
rnacentral:rRNA from 1 species